rnacentral:rRNA from 1 species
UACAGAGGUCUCAAGCGUUGUUCGGAUUCAUUGGGCGUAAAGGGUGCGUAGGUGGCGCCUUAAGUCGGGUGUGAAAUUUCGGAGCUUAACUCCGAAACUGCAUUCGAUACUGCGGUGCUUGAGGACUGGAGAGGAGACUGGAAUUCAUGGUGUAGCAGUGAAAUGCGUAGAGAUCAUGAGGAAGACCAGUGGCGAAGGCGGGUCUCUGGACAGUUCCUGACACUGAGGCACGAAGGCCAGGGGAGCAAACGGG